AUUGAACGCUGGCGGCAUGCCUAACACAUGCAAGUCGAGCGAGCGGCGGACGGGUGCGUACUGUAUGGGGACUGCCCGAUAGCGGCGGAUAACUACUGGAAACGGUUUCUAAUACCGCAUACUGUCGGAUCCCCCUUAUGGGAUUAGCUAGUCGGUAAGGUAAUGGCUUACCUAGGCGACGAUCCCUACCUGGUCUGAGAGGAUGAUCGGCCAAACUGGGACUGAGACACGGCCCAGACUCCUACGGAGGCAGCAGUGGGGAAUAUUGCACAAUGGACGCAAGCCUGAUGCAGCCAGGCCGCGUGUAUGAAGAAGGCCCUAGGGUUGUAAAGUACUUUCAGUCGGGAGGCGUUACCGACAGAAGAAGCACCGGCUAACUCCGUGCCAGCAGCCGCGGUAAUUC
rnacentral:rRNA from 1 species